rfam:Catonella morbi ATCC 51271 genomic scaffold Scfld1, whole genome shotgun sequence.
GGGGUUGUACCGGUUUCGACGGGAAUUUUGAAGUUGGAGAAGCAAGCCGCAGGAAUGCGUUAAAUCCAAAAUUAAAUACAAACGCUGAAGAUAAUUUAGCAUACGCUGCCUAAUGGCAGCUGUCUUACCUGUUAUACCUGCAUAGCAGGCUAAGGCAUCGAAUAAGCAGGAAACGACAUGGUCAGUGGCUCGCGGCUAUGGGCGUAUUAGAGUCUACUAAAGUCAGGAUUGUGCUGAUUCAAGUCUGAUGGAGGGAAUGUCAAACAAUUAGCUAAGCUUGUAGAAGUACAAUGAAUGGGUUUUUGGACAGGGGUUCGACUCCCCUCAGCUCCAUUU